GACGAACGCUGGCGGCGUGCCUAAUACAUGCAAGUCGAGCGGACGGAUGGGAGCUUGCUCCCAGACCGUCAGCGGCGGACGGGUGAGUAACACGUGGGCAACCUGCCUGUAAGACUGGGAUAACUCCGGGAAACCGGGGCUAAUACCGGAUAACUCUUUCCCUCACAUGAGGGAAAGCUGAAAGAUGGCAUCUCGCUAUCACUUACAGAUGGGCCCGCGGCGCAUUAGCUAGUUGGUGAGGGAACGGCUCACCAAGGCGACGAUGCGUAGCCGACCUGAGAGGGUGAUCGGCCACACUGGGACUGAGACACGGCCCAGACUCCUACGGGAGGCAGCAGUAGGGAAUCUUCCGCAAUGGACGAAAGUCUGACGGAGCAACGCCGCGUGAGUGAUGAAGGUUUUCGGAUCGUAAAACUCUGUUGUCAGGGAAGAACAAGUACCGGAGUAACUGCCGGUACCUUGACGGUACCUGACCAGAAAGCCACGGCUAACUACGUG
rnacentral:rRNA from 1 species